AUACAUUUAAGGCCACACCAAUUCGAUUCCUUGUUCGACGGACCCGCCCGCACCUAUUUUUUUCAAAACAGAAUUUUUUUAUUUUUUUAUAUUCCCGCUUCCCGCAUCCGGAAAUGUAAUCAUGUCCAUUUCCCGCACCGUUGUUUUUGUGAAUAUUAUAAAAAGAUAUCAACAUUUGUUUUAAAAUCACAGUCUAACCUGUAUAUAACGACUUUAAACAUAAAAUCACCCCACCACAAGGUGUAAAUAUCUGUGAGAAUAUUUGCUUCAGCAUGAAACCUAUUUCAUCCAAAGAGGGAGUGCUCCGAUAUAAAUUUAUAACAGCGCGGAAAUACCCGUAAAGAACAAACAAUUGGUUUCUUUCCCCCUUACUUAUAUUCCCUAUCAAAAC
rnacentral:lncRNA from 1 species